GCAUUGCAAUGAUGAUUUUUAUUCUUUAGUCGGAUACCCCUUCACUCUUAAUCAUGAGUGAUAGCCGUUGUCUGACGAGGC
rnacentral:snoRNA from 1 species